rnacentral:rRNA from 1 species
AGGACGAACGCUGGCGGCGUGCUUAACACAUGCAAGUCGAGCGGUAAGGCUCCUUCGGGAGUACACGAGCGGCGAACGGGUGAGUAACACGUGAGCAAUCUGCCCUUCUCUUCGGAAUAACCAUUGGAAACGAUGGCUAAUGCCGAAUACGACCUCCUUUCGCAUGAUCGGAGGUGGAAAGCUCCGGCGGAGAAGGAUGAGCUCGCGGCCUAUCAGCUA